GGUUCCUGUCCAACGUUAAUCGGGGCAGGGUGAGUCGACCCCUAAGGCGAGGCCGAAAGGCGUAGUCGAUGGGAAACAGGUUAAUAUUCCUGUACUUGGUGUUACUGCGAAGGGGGGACGGAGAAGGCUAUGUUGGCCGGGCGACGGUUGUCCCGGUUUAAGCGUGUAGGCUGGUUUUCCAGGCAAAUCCGGAGAAUCAAGGCUGAGGCGUGAUGACGAGGCACUACGGUGCUGAAGCAACAAAUGCCCUGCUUCCAGGAAAAGCCUCUAAGCAUCAGGUAACAUCAAAUCGUACCCCAAACCGACACAGGUGGUCAGGUAGAGAAUACCAAGGCGCUUGAGAGAACUCGGGUGAAGGAACUAGGCAAAAUGGUGCCGUAACUUCGGGAGAAGGCACGCUGAUAUGUAGGUGAAGCGACUUGCUCGUGGAGCUGAAAUCAGUCGAAGAUACCAGCUGGCUGCAACUGUUUAUUAAAAACACAGCACUGUGCAAACACGAAAGUGGACGUAUACGGUGUGACGCCUGCCCGGUGCCGGAAGGUUAAUUGAUGGGGUCAGCGCAAGCGAAGCUCUUGAUCGAAGCCCCGGUAAACGGCGGCCGUAACUAUAACGGUCCUAAGGUAGCGAAAUUCCUUGUCGGGUAAGUUCCGACCUGCACGAAUGGCGUAAUGAUGGCCAGGCUGUCUCCACCCGAGACUCAGUGAAAUUGAACUCGCUGUGAAGAUGCAGUGUACCCGCGGCAAGACGGAAAGACCCCGUGAACCUUUACUAUAGCUUGACACUGAACACUGGUCCUUGAUGUGUAGGAUAGGUGGGAGGCUUUGAAGUGUGGACGCCAGUCUGCAUGGAGCCGUCCUUGAAAUACCACCCUUUAAUGGCUGGUGUUCUAACGUGGGCCCGUAAUCCGGGUUGCGGACAGUGUCUGGUGGGUAGUUUGACUGGGGCGGUCUCCUCCUAAAGAGUAACGGAGGAGCACGAAGGUUGGCUAAUCCUGGUCGGACAUCAGGAGGUUAGUGCAAUGGCAUAAGCCAGCUUGACUGCGAGCGUGACGGCGCGAGCAGGUGCGAAAGCAGGUCAUAGUGAUCCGGUGGUUCUGAAUGGAAGGGCCAUCGCUCAACGGAUAAAAGGUACUCCGGGGAUAACAGGCUGAUACCGCCCAAGAGUUCAUAUCGACGGCGGUGUUUGGCACCUCGAUGUCGGCUCAUCACAUCCUGGGGCUGAAGUAGGUCCCAAGGGUAUGGCUGUUCGCCAUUUAAAGUGGUACGCGAGCUGGGUU
rnacentral:rRNA from 1 species